ensembl:lncRNA
GCAGUGUGGCUGGGCUGGUCUUGUCUGGCCUGGCUGUUGCAGGGUCCAGGGAGGCACAACUUGUCAAGUCGUGGCGGUUUUAGACUUUUAGUCAGCUGGUUGUCUGGCUGGAGGUUGCGGCUGUGGGAGCGUGGCUGGCGCAUUGUGUGUGUGGCGUCCCGUGUGCUGCACGGAGGGUGUUUGGUGUCUCGCCAUUCCGCAUCAGCGACGACUCCUGCCUGCCUGCCGACUGAGGUUGGAGGCGGAAGCGUGGCCUUCAAGCCGGUGCAGAUCGCCUUAUGCGUAGCAUUCAAUUCCUACGUUAAAGCUGUGUCGUUGUGGUGCACCACAAGCUUCUACGUCCCGCCAGUGGCUCACCUGCUGAAGGGCUGUUUGUGCCACUGGUAGGAGUGACUGGCUGAUCCUGGUGGCGGUGGUUCCCUUCAUUUUUCUGUAGUGCACCUUUGUGUCAAUAGUAGUGAUUUUUUUUGUUUUCACGUGCGGUGGAACAUUGGGCUCCCCUUGUACAUCGCAUUCCAUGUACAGAACCCAAAACUGAGACAAAAACACAACCCUCCCUGAGGCUGCACUAACAGUGUUCCAUCCUUUCCAUAAGCGUCCUGGCACAAUGAACCCAAGGCACCAAAAGGCACUCAGCUUUGUUCAACAGUGCAGACUUCAUGUGAGCAUGCCUGAAGCACCUUUCUGAAAACGGCUGUCAGCUUUGACACUAAAGGAGAAGAAGCGCGGACCCCCUCGUCAGCCUCUCCGCGCACUCCUCUGAAGUCGUUUCACGGCACAGAGAGAGUUCAUUCUAAAAAGGAGAUGGCACAGUUGGAAAGUUUCAGGGCAGACUGCGCAAACGCGAUUUUUUGUUGUGAUUGGCCGUGACGCAGUGACAUGAGAGGCGCUCUAAGGUGGACAGGCAGGCAGACAGACAGACAUGCCGAACAGAAGAGGCGUCCCUCAGGAGGGAGGACUCACAGACAGAGACAGACAGUUCUCCAGGGUCGAGAUGCUAAACAUUUCCCACUACAGCUCUCUGGCCUUUUCAGAGAUUCAGCUUGGGAAACAACACACACUCACACACACAACUACACGGAAUGGAAACGUUAUGAGGAGUAAAGGUCAUUCAUUUUAUAUAAACAUAUACUUAUAUUGCUGACAUACUCAAACUGCAGCGAUAUUUUCUUGAAAACGGUAUGAAACUCUAACCCCUAAAUUGUGAC